GACGAACGCUGGCGGCGUGUCUAAUACAUGCAAGUCGAGCGGAUGGAAGGAAGCUUGCUUCCUAAAGUCAGCGGCGGACGGGUGAGUAACACGUGGGCAACCUGCCCCUAAGAUCGGGAUAACUUCGGGAAACCGGAGCUAAUACCGGAUAUGAUUAUGUCUCACAUGAGACAUAAUGGAAAGACGGUUUCGGCUGUCACUUAGGGAUGGGCCCGCGGCGCAUUAGCUAGUUGGUGAGGUAACGGCUCACCAAGGCGACGAUGCGUCGCCGACCUGAGAGGGUGGUCUGCCACACUGGGACUGAGACACGGCCCAGACUCCUACGGGAGGCAGCAUUAGGGGAUCUUCCGCAAUGGACGAAAGUCUGGCGGAGCAACGCCGCGUGAGUGAAGAAGGUUUUCGGAUCGUAAAACUCUGUUGUUAGGGAAGAACAAGUACCAUAGUAACUGAUGGUACCUUGACGGUACCUAACCAGAAAGCCACGGCUAACUACGUGCCAGCCGCCGCAGUAACAC
rnacentral:rRNA from 1 species